CACGUAGGGGGCAAGCGUUGUCCGGAUUUAUUGGGCGUAAAGAGCUCGUAGGCGGCUCGGUAAGUCGGGUGUGAAAUUUCGAGGCUCAACCUCGAAACGCCACCCGAUACUGCUGUGGCUAGAGUGUGGUAGGGGAGACUGGAAUUCCUGGUGUAGCGGUGAAAUGCGCAGAUAUCAGGAGGAACACCGAUGGCGAAGGCAGGUCUCUGGGCCACUACUGACGCUGAGAAGCGAAAGCAUGGGGAGCGAACAGG
rnacentral:rRNA from 1 species